UACGUAGGGUCCGAGCGUUGUCCGGAAUUAUUGGGCGUAAAGGGCUCGUAGGCGGUUUGUCACGUCGGGAGUGAAAACACGGGGCUUAACCCCGUGCCUGCUUCCGAUACGGGCAGACUAGAGGUAUGCAGGGGAGAACGGAAUUCCUGGUGUAGCGGUGGAAUGCGUAGAGAUCGGGAAGAACAUCGGUGGCGAAGGCGGCCAGCUGGGCCAUUGCUGACGCUGAUGCGCGACAGCGUGGGGAGCAAACAGG
rnacentral:rRNA from 1 species